rnacentral:rRNA from 1 species
UACGGAGGGUGCAAGCGUUGCUCGGAAUCACUGGGCGUAAAGCGACCGCAGGCGGUCUGACAAGUCGGAUGUGAAAGCCCUGGGCUCAACUCAGGAACAGCAUUCGAAACUGGCAGACUCGAGUACGGGAGAGGCAGGUGGAAUUCCCGGUGUAGCGGUGGAAUGCGUAGAGAUCGGGAAGAACAUCAGUGGCGAAGGCGGCCUGCUGGCUGUUGCUGACGCUGAGGCGCGACAGCGUGGGGAGCAAACAGG